CACCAGCACCACGUUCUCCUACAAUAUAGUGAAAAUGUUCCCCUCAAAUGAACAUUCACUGAAGAUGUAAUUCUCAAAAAAAAAAAAAAAAAAAACUUAAGGAGGCCAACCAGUAGUCCGUAGUCAAAGGAAGAACAAAGUUAUUUGGACUAGAGCUAAAAUCAUAUUGUAAAUACUUGACUAACUCUGGUGUGCACUGUUCUAAAUAGUCGAUAUGUAAAUGUGUUGCAUUUUAGCGCCAAGAGAAGAUAUUUGGCAUAUCGCAAAGAAAACAUGACUGACAGUAGCUACAUCAUAUGGAGAAGACAAACGCACAGCUUCAUAAACUUGUAGUAAAAAUAAUUCAAAUGUAAGUGUAUAUGUUAUAUACGGUAUUACUCUAUAACACAAUAAAAUGUAAAACAAAAAGUAGAUUCUUAAAAAUGUGACCUGUGCAUUAGAAAUAAAUUAUUUUCAUUUGAACAAAUGUCAUUAAAUUGGGAGGGACAAAAACGUAGCCUACAUAUAAACAACAAACGUAUUGAGCAUUUAACACAUAAUAUUUGAUUACAAAUAAAUAAAUAGAUAUAUAGGAACUGCAAACAUUAUUUGGAAUAGCAUCUUUAAAAUACACUAAUAUUCCUCGUGUAAAACAAAUUAGUAUAAUAACGCAUAUGGUCAUCCAAAUAAAUAUAAAGCCAGACAGCAAUUAUGCAUUCCGAGUUCAGACUGUAAGCAGAGGUCAUGCAAAAUAAAUAUAUUCACUCUUUUAGAACUGAUUUCUCAUUUUGAUACUUCACGCCAUAUAUCAGCAGUAUAACUUAUACCCGUUGUCUUUUACAUGCUAAAUGUAAGCGUUUAAUUUAUUUUAAUUUGGGCGCAUUUCAUGUUACCCAGGAAGAGGACUCAGGGGAUGCACAAUGUGUCCUUCCUCUUUUCCUGUGGAGAAGAGCCGGGAUGUCUUUGAUAAUAAUAAAACAGAAAGACCUGAAGACAACCAUAGCAUUGAGUGAUGGGUCUUUUUUACUCUUGUAAGUUAAGGCUUCCGUUUUUGUCAAUUGGCAGAGUAUGUAUGUUAAUAUUUUAAUUAAUCGGUGAAAAUCGAUGUCCGAUUUGUGCUAUCAGGGGACCCUCAGCCCUCUGCACUAAAGGGGGUGGGUGGGGGAACGUAGAAAGGAAGAGAGAUGUGUUUUAGAGAGCAAUCUAUUUUGCUGGUGUUGGGGGUUAAUGACUAUUGCCAAAGAUAAGUGAAUUAUCAAAGCUGUUGCUCUUGCCUCGUCUCAAAAUCCAUUACAAUGCCUGGUCGUCUAAUUAAAUACCAUAUCCGUCGAAUUAACUAGAUUACCUUUGAAAUGGCCAAGAAGGAGGAACCUAAAUGUAAAAAGACCCUUUGUACUGCACGCUCUCACCCAUCUCGGGCUGUGGGGAGGACAAACGGAGGACUUCCUCGCUUGAAAAAAGCUUUUCUAUGGUGACAGUGCCCCACCUACAGGAAUUAGAAAGACCGACGACCGGACAAACUGCAGCCCCAAUAUAAUGCGUUAUUAUUGUUAUUACCAUUUCAAUAACAACAAUAAGGGCAUCAAUACUACAUACAUAAUAUGUAUUCAUUUUUAUGUUCAGCCUCAUUUUAAUUAAAAUGAUCAGUAGCACAACAAUCACAACAGAAGCAGGGAUAGACAUAAAAUAUUUGAAUUAACACCUCGUGUAAACCAAUAAACCGCCAUGUGAUUUAUUUGUUAGUUUAUUAAUUAGUUUAUUUAUUUAUCGAUCUGCCAUAGGCAAAUUUAUUGCUGAAAGGUUUGACCAUAAAUUGACAUUCAAGUAUUCUACUACAUACUGAACACAUUGUCUUGUUUUUUUUAUUUUUUCUCCCAACCAAAUGCGUGACAGAUAAUUUCACAACAUUGGUCUUACGUCGGAAAAUGUUAAAUUGGUUGUUUUGUUUACCACGCUGUAAUGGUAGAACUGUGUGUAAAUUUCCCAAAACAGUGUCAUUGUGAAAGUGUGGAUACUCCAUGAACUAUAGAGAAAGUGAAGCUGCGUUUUAAUGUUUCUUUUGAUUGGAGAAAACUGACACUCUGGAAGGAUACUUAAAUGAUUUCUGUAUUUGAUUAGCAUUCAACAGUGAAAUUAACAGUGAAUAUGUGCCGCUUUACAACGCAUCAAGCUCUGAACGGUCCGCAGCUACAAGUGGUAUUUCAGCACUUGAAAGAAGAGCCAUUACUUCGUUAUGAUCAAUGUAUAUAACUAAAAUCAGGAAACGCGUCUUAAUUAACAAAGGACAAGAGGGUGUCUCUUCACAAUGUGUUUCUGUUCUUCGAGCUAUUUGUGCAUCGCCUGAGACUGAAAAGGGGCACUUCGUGCCAUGGCUUGGUAGCUUUAUUUGUAAGCCAGAUAGGGAAGAGAUGACAAAUACUCCACUGGAAACCGCGCCCUUGGCAUGACAUCAAAUGGAAAAAAAAAGUUCUUUGAUUGGGAAUGGGACUAUUGUUCAAAAUAUCCUAUUUUUAAUGACAGGUAUACGAUCGCAAUUGUGUUUGGCUACCCUCUAUAGUCACGUACCAAAAGUAUUUCCCUGUUACACAUUUAAGUCGUUUUUAAUGCUUUCUCAUGAGUUAAGUCACGGUCAUUAAAAAAAAAAAAAGGUAGGCCUACAAUUGGCAAAAUGAUGAAAGCUUUCAACGACGGCAAUAUUGGAGCCUACAAUAUUUUAUGAAAAUAUUCCAGAAUAUUACUGAUUUAACAUUAAUUUGAAUUGUGACGCACGGUCUAUAGCUCGUGAAAUGCCCUGCCUCCGAUAUAUAUACAAGAUCGGGGCUUUAGGUCAGAGUUCACAUAUCAUGGAGCUAGCAGAUGUGGUAUGCUUAAUUUUCUUUGAGAAGGUAAGACAAAAUAUUGUAAUGGUCGGUGUACGCUAACGUUCCUUGGUCAUGGUAAUAUCAGCGAGAAGUGUUCGAGUUAAAGCCUAUAAUGGGGACACGCGCAAUUUAAACCUAAUUAGCAUGCAUUUUUUUGCCAAAAAAACAAUGAUGGCAUGUACGUAUUUUUACAGUCACCCUAUAAUCUUACAGUAUGGCCAUGCUAUGUAUCAGCCCUAUGAUUAUCUUUAAUAAUGGAAAGUGUGUUUUUGAUGUCUCGUAAGAGCAAACUUCACCAGAUAGUGAAGAGAGUUCAUUGAUGACACCGGUUUGAAAGGAGUGGUGGUGCUGCCAGAAAAAUCUCCAGUUGUUUUGAGGGUCACGUGGGGAUUGGUCAGGGGUACGUCUGGGUUGGAGUCAAAGAUGUCUGCAAAGUGUUCAGAGGAAAGGAUCCUAGAAGUGUGCCAAACACCUGUCAAUACAUCUCCGGGAGAGGCGGAUCGUUACAGCAUCACCUGAGAGCACGGUGGAGAGUUCACCAGGUGGUUCUGCGGUCAGCCGCUACCAGCACGGGAGGGUCAGGAUGUUCGAAAUCAAAGCUGUUAAUUGUGAUGGUUGACGGUAUAGCACAACAGCUCUUGCACACACUACAACUGCCCCCAGCCUCGCAGGCAAUGGACGAGAGAACAGGAACAGAGCUAAUAAUGUAAAUGACCGUCCGAGUCAGACGGCAUGGAGAGAACGAGCGUCAAGAACCGCGGUGGGCGAGCGCAGUUUCAAUAAAAGCACACCUUUGUGGCCUGGUGUCAGAGAUAUCCCCACAGAAACAAACCUGAAGCAACGGACACAAAUUGUACUGUGCAUUUUACACAGUAAGUACGUUCAUCCACCAUACAUCUUUCCCAGUUAUCUAGCGCCUCCGUAACACAGCAUUUACUAGUUUCAGAUUUAGAAUUAUUUGAAGCUAAACUAAUGUAUUGAUAUGUAUUAAUGUAUGGGGGUGGGUGCAGGCAGGCAUACUCCAGUGGUUACUUUGCUUUAUGGAGAUUAAACAACAGCAUUCAAUAUGAGUAACUUGGCACAACCUUCAUCUCCAUCUCUCCCAAUACAUUUACACCAAGAGACAAUUUAAAUGAAUGGUUAGCAGUACAUAUGGGCUAAAGGGAGAGAGAUCGAGAGAGAGAGAGGGAGAGAAAUAUUACUGCCUACGUCCCAUUUAAAAUUGUUAGAGGAGAGUAAAAGCCCACAGAGCGGAGUGUUUCAGCAGUGGAAACUAAUUCAGACGUGUGAAGACCCUUUUAUUAACACGACGAAUGAAAAGAACAUUGCUGUGAAAACAACAAAGCAAAAGCUAAAAAUAAUCAGAACUAUUCUUCCUCUGCAUAAUGGUGGGAGGCUGGGGACCUUUUGUGGCAACAAAGUGGUAAAAAAAGGGGGAAACACGUUAAAUUAAACAGCAGGCAGAAAUUUCACGUCAGAGUGUAGCAGCUUUUCUGUUAUUUGGAGCCUUGAGACAGUCAGCCUUUGCUGGAUAUUGGUUUUGUGUGUGCGCGUGCGUGCGCACGGACAUGAGGAGUGCACGUGUGCGAGCACGGGCGUGUGCGCAAACGUGCGCGCAGACAUCAGUCCGUUGAUUAGCGUGGGGGAGAAUGAAUGGCCGUUCAAAGCUCACAGAAAACAAGCUGAGAACAUGAUUAUCAUAAACGAAACACCCUGGUGGUGGCUUGCCCUACUUUUCGCAGCAACACCAAGGGGGGAGCGGUGGGAGGUGGAGGAGGGAGGAAAAUGCUGUGAACAUCAUGUGAUUGUUGUGCGCUGCCAUAUCGACUGCCUAUACAUCGCUCAGGCAAUUCAUAGAUUAGUCAUGUCACUCAUAAACUA